UCCCCAGACUCCUACGGGAGGCAGCAGUCGGGAAUAUUGCGCAAUGGAGGAAACUCUGACGCAGUGACGCCGCGUAUAGGAAGAAGGUUUUCGGAUUGUAAACUAUUGUCGUUAGGGAAGAUAAAAGACAGUACCUAAGGAGGAAGCUCCGGCUAACUACGUGCCAGCAGCCGCGGUAAUACGUAGGGAGCGAGCGUUGUCCGGAAUUACUGGGUGUAAAGGGAGCGUAGGCGGGGAUGCAAGUUGGGUGUUAAAUCUACCGGCUCAACUGGUAGUCGCACUCAAAACUGCAGCUCUUGAGUGAAGUAGAGGCAGGCGGAAUUCCUAGUGUAGCGGUGAAAUGCGUAGAUAUUAGGAGGAACACCAGUGGCGAAGGCGGCCUGCUGGGCUUUUACUGACGCUGAGGCUCGAAAGUGUGGGGAGCAAACAGGAUUAGAUACCCCAGUAC
rnacentral:rRNA from 1 species